rnacentral:misc_RNA from 1 species
GAUGAAGAACGUAGCAAAAUGAGAUAAGUAAUGUGAAUUGCAGAAUUCAGUGAAUCAUCGAAUCUUUGAACGCACAUUGCGCCCGCCAGUAUUCUGGCGGGCAUGCCUGUUCGAGCGUCAUUUCAACCCUCAAGCACAGCUUGGUGUUGGGACUCGCGUUAAUUCGCGUUCCUCAAAUUGAUUGGCGGUCACGUCGAGCUUCCAUAGCGUAGUAGUAAAACCCUCGUUACUGGUAAUCGUCGCGGCCACGCCGUUAAACCCCAACUUCUGAAUGUUGACCUCGGAUCAGGUAGGAAUACCCGCUGAACUUAAGCAUAUCAAUAAGCGGAGGA